rnacentral:rRNA from 1 species
UUUUUUAAGAGUUUGAUCAUGGCUCAGGAUGAAUGUUGGCGGCGUGCCUGAGAUAUGCAAGUCGAACGUCUUUUUUGCCGCAAGGCGAAAAGGUAGUGGCGGACGGCUGAGUAACACGUAGGAAUCUUCCCCUAUUUGGAGAAUAGCUCCGCGAAAGCGGGGAUAAUGCUCCAUAAUCUCUUCGGAGUAAAGAACGUAACUGUUUGAAUAGGGAUGAGCCUGCGGCUUAUCAGGUAGUUGGUAGGGUAAUGGCCUACCAAGCCUAUUACGAGUAGCUGGACUAAGAGGUUGGUCAGCCAGAGGGGGACUGCGACACGGCCCCCACUCCUACGGGAGGCAGCAAUCAGGAAUAGUCGGCAAUGGACGAAAGUCUGACCGCGCGACGCCGCGUGUAGGAUUAAGCUCUUCGGAGUGUAAACUACUGUUGUAAAGGAAGAAGUCCCGACGUAACGUCGGGGUUGACGGUACUUUACGAGAAAGGGGCCGCUAACUGCGUGCCAGAAGCGUCGGUAAUACGUGGGCCCCAAACAUUAUCCGGUUUUACUGGGUGUAAAAAGUAGUGUAGGUGUUUUGAUAAGUUUUGGUUUAAAGACUGUGGCUUAACCAUAGGAAAGGCCAAAAGACUGUUAAAAUUGAAUUUUCUUUAGGGAGACUGGAACUUAAGGAGGAGUAGUGAAAUGCGUUGAUACCUUAGGGAACACUCGUGGCGAAGGCGAGUCUCUGGAAGAAAAUUGACACUGAGACACGAAAGCUAGGGUAGCGAAGCAGAUUAGAGACCUGCGUAGUCCUAGCCUUAAACGCAUGCUUGCUAGCUGCAUUGCUUUGUCUUUAUGACAACGUGGUGUGGCGAAGGUAACCCGUUAAGCAAGCCACCUGGGGAGUACGGCCGCAAGGUUGAAACUCAAAUGAAUUGGCGGGGAGGCACACAACCAGUGGAACAUGUGGUUCAAUUCGAAACGAAACGAAGAACCUCACCAGGGUUUGACAUCCAAGCGUCCUAUUUUAUGGAAACAUAGAAAAUUCGCAAGAAGGUUUGGACAGGUGCUGCAUGGCUGUCGUCAGUUCGUUCCGUGAGGAGUGCCCUUAAGUGGGACAACGAACGCAACCCCUAUCUUAUGUUAAAUCUAUCAUAAGAAACUGCCUCGCCUUUGGCGAGGAGGAAGGAGGGGCAGACGUCAAGUCAGCAUGGUCCUUAUACCCUGGGCUACACACAUGUUACAAUGGAUAAAAACAAUGGGUUCUGCCAGACCGUAAGGUCGAGCAAAUCUCAGAAAUUUAUCCUCAGUGGGGAUUGAGGUCUGAAACCCGACCUCAUGAACGCGGAAUUGGUAGUAAUCGCAGGUCAGCUAUACUGCGGUGAAUACGUUCUUGCCUCUUGCACACACCGCCCGUCAAACAAACAAAGUCGGAGAUAUUUGAACUUCGAUGUAUUUCGAGGGAGGAUAUAAUCGGCGAUGGGUGUUAAGUCGUAACAAGGUAUCCGUUCUGGAAGGAGCGGAUGGAUCACCUCCUUU